AGUUUUGCAGCUCUGUUGCUAGUCAGCAGCUCACUGUCUGCCUCAGUGUCUUCAUUUCGUCUUUAUUUCAGCCUCAGUUCUCAAAUGCUAUUAUGGCUCCUGUGAUCCCUCUUUGCAUUUAUUUAAUUGUGACCGCACAUUGUUACAGGGUUCAAAAGCCAAAGCUGAUUGUUUCUCCUGCUGUCAUCUAUGAGAUGGACACAGUUCAUCUGACCUGUGAGGUGCCUCAGAAAGCAUCACAGUGCUAUUUCAGCUGUUUAGGGAAAGGGGACAAGGCUUAAGCUGCUUUAAAUUGUAAAUAUUCUCUCCAGGGUUAUGAUUUACUCAAAGAGUCAGGUCAAAACUCACCCACAGUAGUUAACAUGACAUGCUCCUACUCGAUGGACAUCUCUGGGAGUCUUGCCAUGUCUGAUCACUCUGAUCCAUCUUCAGUCACUGUCCAGAGACCUCCAGCUCCCACAUUGAUGGUGUCUCCUUUGGUCAUCACAGAGAAAGACAAAAUUCAUCUUAAUUGUGUGCCAUCUAAUUCUCCAGCAUCUCAGUGUAAUGUGUACACUGAGGGGAGUGAGUGUGGGUAAUAAUUACUCUGCUCCCUCCUGUCAACUCUCUCUUGGGUAUCAGGAGCUGAUCCAGUGGGCCAGACAAAGCUCACCUGCUCUUAUCAAAAUUAGGUGCUACUAUCAUGCAGAAACCCCCAGAGGUCGAUUUAUAUCUGACCUAUCUAACUCUGUACCUCUCUCUGGCCAAACCUCUCAUUUAGGAGGUAAGUAUUUUUGUAAACUUUACAGGACAAAUGGCACACAUACUAAGGAAGUAUUAUAAAAGAAGCUAGAUGAUUAAUAGAUCCAUAAACCUCAUUGCUGGUGAAAGCUGAGAAAAAACAGUUGUCACCUAGGUACCCGAAUAAACAUGUUCCG